GGAGGUUAAAGACUCGAUAUACGCAGACAGGGAUAAAAUGCAGAGGGAGCAUACUGCGCAUAUAUAGUUAAAAAACAAUCACUCUAGCUCAGUCUCUCUCUCUCUCCGAAGCACAGGGGAAAAAAAUAAAAAAAACCCACUCUCACUCCCAGUCUGACAUUGAGGAAGCGUAAACUUAUAGUUCACAGGUACACGCUGUCUUCUCUCUAGUGAAUCCAAUCCAAUCCCAUCCAUUAUGGAUCCUCCAUUGAUAAACGAGACCUCCUUCUCUGCGGCCAACCCAUCUUCCUACACAUUAACUGAGAUUUGGCCUUUUCCACCUCCUCCUCCUUCUUCCACUCGUUUGGGCCUCCGGAUGGAUAAUUUGGCCGACCCAGAUGGGUCCCUUGAGGAAUCCACUUUGACAGAUCAGAGUAGUGGAAAUGGAACUAGGAUUAGGAAGACCAGAGAUUUCAGUUCCGAGAAGGAUGACUCGUCCAAAAUGGUUUCUACCACCACUAGCGCCAAUGAUUUGAAUGAUUCAAAUGGUAAGCGGAGGAAAAUAUCGGGAUCAAGGAGUGAAAACAACGAUUCAAGAGCUGAAACUGAAGCAAGUUCUGCUGCUAAUAACAAGACAGCCGAACAAAGCAGUAAACCAUCAGAGCCGCCUAAGCAAGAUUAUAUUCAUGUCAGAGCAAGAAGGGGCCAAGCGACUGAUAGCCACAGUUUAGCGGAGAGAGCUCGGAGAGAAAAGAUUAGUGAGAGGAUGAACAUGCUCCAAGAUCUGGUCCCUGGGUGUAAUAAGGUUAUCGGCAAAGCACUUGUCCUUGAUGAGAUAAUUAAUUAUAUCCAGUCACUCCAAUGUCAGGUUGAGUUCCUCUCAAUGAAGCUAGAAGCAGUAAAUUCAAGGAUGAACACUAGCCCCACGACUGAACACCUUCAUCCAAAAGAUUUUUGCAUGUAGGUUGACAGGUUUACACAUGGGCACGCAAAAAGCAGCCAAAGGUUUCUCGUAGUGAGAGCAAUAUUAACUUCAAGAGAGCUUGGGGCACAGCCAUUUGUAGCUACUGGGAUGAUAUCUGGCCCACAACCAACAAGAGAAUAUGUUCAAGGAUCCCAAUCCGAAUGGCUACAUAUGCAGGUUGGUGGAAGUUUCGAAAGAGCAACGUAAUCAAGGAGCUAGAUUUAUUUAGUUUCUUUAGGGGAAAUUUGUUACUGGCUUCCCCGUGCAUAAAUGUGUUUACUCAUUUCAUUUGUAGAAAAUACAUCUGAUCUUUAAUUGCAUCGUAUCAUCUGACUGAAUUUGCCUUUACGCAUGUGUAUCUAAACGGAAUCUCCUAGAGCGAGUUCAGUUCAGAUAACUGUACCAAAAGGAUUGUGCUUCUAAUUUAUAACUCUUCUACCUUGUUGUCGGAA